UGUCUCUCCCACCACCUUGCCUGUCCGAGAAGCGAGCUCGAGGAACUGAUGACGGACCCAUCGCUCACCCCCCCUUCGAUGCAUCAAAAGAACCUCCAGGGCCGGGAAAGGUUGGCCUCGAAAUUCUCCAGGAAAUACUUGGGGCUGCUUUUGGUGUUGUAUGAAACUGGUGAUUAAAGGGGGGGAGCCUGGAAAGGAGGAGAGGAGACGAACCCUCCCCCCCCCAACCUUCACUUUCUCGAGCCUAGUGGCUCCUGCCGGUGGUGGACUGCGAUCUCUGGAAGUGGAGCUUGUGCGUCGAGGGCUCUUGCUCUCCCUUCCCCGCCUUGCCCUUCUCGGCCAGUUAUGCAGACUCCCUGUGGUGGUUGCUGCUGCUGCUGCUCCUCCUCCUGCUGCUAGGAUCCGAUGCUGGCCGCUCCGGAGCCAGGGGAUGGAGAUGGGGGGCUGAUCAACGCCAGACGACGGUGAGAGGGGAAAGGAGAGAAAGAGCUGGAGAGACGGGGGCGCUGAUCCACUUGGGUUCAGCGCGAAGCGCGCGUGGGCUUCAGGCUGCUGCUCGGGUCUCCCUCCUCUUCCCACCGCAGGAAGCCCUCUCGUCUCUAAAUGGAAUUAGUGGAGAUCGAAGCCCCUUGUGUAAGGAACAGACAUGAUCCAUGGGCGCAGCUUGUUUCACAUUGUAGCAAGUUUUAUCAUCCUACAUUGGGCUGGGGCAACAAAAAAAGGAGCAGAAAAGCAAACCACGUCAGAAGGACAAAAGACAGUGCAGUGUGGAACGUGGACAAAAUACCCCGAAGGAGGCAUCUUCACUUCUCCCAAUUACCCCAACAAAUAUCCUCCUGAGAGAGAGUGUGUCUACAUUAUAGAAGCUGCCCCAAGACAGUGUAUUGAGUUACACUUUGAUGAAAAAUACUCCAUAGAGCCUUCGUGGGAGUGUAAAUUUGAUCAUAUUGAAGUGCGAGAUGGACCUUUUGGAUUUUCCCCAAUAAUUGGUCGUUUCUGUGGACAACAAAACCCACCCAAAAUAAAAUCCAGUGGUAGAUUCCUGUGGAUUAAAUUUUUUGCUGAUGGUGAACUUGAAUCUUUGGGAUUUUCUGCACGAUACAAUUUUACACCUGAUCCGGAUUUCAAGGACCUUGGGGUUUUGAAACCAUUGCCAGUUUGUGAGUUUGAGAUGGGAGGAUCUGAAGGAAUUGUGGAAUCUGUGCAAAUUGGGAAAGAAGGGAAGGCUUCGGACACUGAGGCAGUUGAUUGUAAAUGGUACAUCCGAGCACCACCAAGAUCCAAGAUAUAUUUACGGUUCUUGGACUAUGAAAUGCAGAAUUCUAAUGAAUGCAAAAGGAAUUUUGUGGCUGUCUAUGAUGGAAGUAGCUCAGUGGAGGAUUUAAAAGCUAAGUUUUGCAGCACUGUUGCUAAUGAUGUGAUGCUGCGCACAGGUCUUGGAGUAAUCCGCAUGUGGGCAGAUGAAGGCAGCCGAAGCAGCCGAUUCCAGAUGCUCUUCACAUCUUUCCAAGAACCCCCCUGUGAAGCCAACACAUUCUUUUGCCAUAGUAACAUGUGUAUUAAUAAUACAUUGGUCUGCAAUGGACUCCAGAAUUGUGUGUAUCCAUGGGAUGAAAACCACUGCAAAGAAAAAAGAAAAGCCAACAUACUGGACCAGCUUACCAAUACCAGUGGGACAAUAAUUGGGGUCACCUCUUGUAUUGUGGUCCUCCUUAUCGUUAUCUCUGUUAUAGUACAGAUCAAACAGCCUCGUAAAAAAUAUGUCCAGAGGAAAGCAGACUUUGAUCAAACAGUAUUCCAGGAGGUGUUUGAGCCUCCUCACUAUGAGUUAUGCACUCUUAGAGGGACAGGGGCUACAGCGGACCUUGCAGACGUUGCAGAUGACUUUGAAAAUUAUCAUAAACUGCGGAGAUCAUCUUCAAAAUGCAUUCAUGACCACCACUGUGGAUCACAGUUAUCUAGCACUAAGGGCAGCCGUAGUAACCUCAGCACAAGAGAUACGCCUAUCUUGACAGAAAUUCAACCCCAGCCUGUAAAGCCUCUCAUACAGCCCAUGAACAGAAGAAAUAUCCUCGUAAUGAAGCAUAGCUACUCACAAGAUGCUGCAGAUGCGUGCGAGAUAGAUGAAAUCGAAGAGGUACCAACCACGAGUCACAGGCUAUCCAGACAUGAUAAAGCUGUCCAGCGCCAUAACAUUCCAGGUUCUGCCUCAUUGGGUCUCUAAACAAACAUGAAUCUGAGUACAACACAACUAGGGUGUAAAAGGCAAACUGAAGACUGCUUGGGAAUAGUGCGAUCCUGGGUGCUUUUGAAUAUACUACAGUGAAUUGUGAAAAUGUCGACCCUGGAACUGCAAGCUAGAGAUGUUCUGGACUCUGACCAGCUAUUCCAAUUUCAUG